AAGGAAAAACUACUAAAAUGUACUCUCAGUGGUCAACCACCCAGAGCACAAGGCAAAGAGAGACAAAACGAAGAGAUUGAGGGUCUUGACGUAAGAGCAAAAGAUGCAAUUAUUGAUUACGCAAUAUUAAUGGGUGAAUCCAAAAUGGAACGUGCCAGAUAGACGAGUCAUAGAGCGUAGCAUGACUCAACAAAUCGGACGGUUAAAGUUGGAGUUAAAACAAGCUCUUGUAAGAGAGCAGGACUAAUUUACUAUUUUUGUUUUAUGUUUAUUUUGAUAAUUUAAAUAAAUAAUUUUUUGUAUGUAAUUAUCGUGCAAUAUUUUACUGCAUUUGCAUGUACAAUAUUUGAAAUAUAUUUUUUUUAAUUGUACGAUAAUUGUUUGUAAAAUAAAAUUUAUAAAAUUGCAUUUAAAA